GAAAAGCAGUCGAGUGUCACUGUGGCGCUGCUGGUCGCAGUCGGUUGCGAUCCGUGUUCCGUUCCGGUCGUGUUUUCUGGUUUCCUCCUCUCGAACUCUCUUGGUGGUUGACUUCCGCUGGUCUGGUGUGGGAAGAACGGCAGCAGAGUGUCGUUUUCCAGUGCAGGUCUGGUCCGCUGUCGGUUCGAAUAAUAAUCACAGUAUGAUUUCCUUUGGGGACGCGGACGGAUGGCUUUCUUGCUGGGUGUCCACUUUUUCCCCAGUCAGGAGAAGUUUAUUAGCAUAAUGUGAUUUUCUCGUGGAAGUUGGUUCCCAGACUUAGCAAAAAUCACGUUUUUCGAGGAAAGGUGAAACGAACAGAAAAGUGUGUUACAAGAGUGAACUGCAAGAAAAAGUCAGCAAACUGCGGAAUCGUGAAACGAAAUCGAACAGAACAGAAGUAACGAAAGUUCGGCAUAUCGGCAUAUUGGCUCCACGCUAUAAAACAGUGAGUGUUCCGUUGUGGAUUUUAUUUUCCUUUGUUCGGGGAAAAAGACGAAAAAAGACCCCAAAUGUGGAACGUCGGGUUGUGGGGCAGUAGAAGCAGCUGUGUCUGGAGUAGGUUUGCCGAGUAGGAAACACGCAACCAGUGCGAUGCGACGUGACGACGACAACAAUCAGGCAAACAGGGAACCGAACAAAGAGACAGACGCACAAGAGACCACAGAGAGGGAAGAACUAACGAAAUUCAGUGUCAAACCACCAUCCCACCAUCGCGCAUCGCUCUGCUGCUCUGGGGCACAAAGGAGAUCGAAGCGAAAGUUUUGUGGGUCGCAUUAUGCGAUACCGACACUGCUUGCUGCACUGAGGUGGCCCAUUUUUGUAUGAAGGGAAUCAAACUGUAAAAUGAGAAUUCGCGGCAGUACCUUGGCAUAUGGAAUAUGAUUCGUGGAAUAUUCAUCCCUGCUUUUUGUGAAAACUUGAAAAGUCUUCGUUCCAAAGGAAAGCCUCUACAUUGCUCAUGUUAUUUCGACCAUCCCAUCUAUCCCCGAACAGAAACCCGCAGGAAGAGUGCCCCACAGCGCAACAUCGGUUAAUUAUAAUACCGGCGAAGGUUUUCGCUGAAUCUGCAACUUCAAGAGCACCCACGACAUCGCCUUCGCCGUCUUCAAUAAUGUUUUGCUGAUGCCACCCCAACACAAGCUGGCAGCAUCAUCCUCCCAUCCGAACCAAGUGGGUACCCCAGAACAUCAUAAGUGCCUCUGCUGUUCCAGCAUCCUUUCACUCGUCGAUACACUUUCUGGUGACUCUUUUUAAUUCAUUCAUUGGCGUUUGCCACGUCGAAGGCGUGAAUCCCAGGAAAUCGGCCGGAACCAGAGCCCUUCACAACGGCAACGAACGAACGAUCGAACGUGUGGAAAAGCGCCCGUCCAAAGUGAGAUAACACAUGUUUUUUGUUUGCGCGGCUUCUCCACGGCUCGCUCGGAUCUCUUUGAGAACACUGGAGCCACUUCUUGGCGGCGGGGACCCGCGAGGGUAACAUCUGCCGAAGAGCGUGCUGCAGUGUUAGAGCAGCCAUGUGGAGGAGUGCGGAGUCGACGCGUUUCUGGUGGUUGGUCGACAUCUUCGGCAGUCGAAGCCCACUCUGCACAGUGUUUUAAGUUGCUGAUUUCGUGGUCGAAAUAGAAAAGUUCCUGAACCGUCGAGUUUAUCAUUAAAGUUUGAAAAGAAAAAAAAA